rnacentral:rRNA from 1 species
GACAGAGGUGCCGAGCGUUAGGCGGAAUCACUGGGCUUAAAGCGUGUGUAGGCGGAUUCCUAAGUACCUUGUGAAAUCCCAUGGCUCAACCAUGGAACUGCUUGGUAUACUGGGUGUCUUGAGCCAGCUAGGGGCUACCGGAACAAAUGGUGGAGCGGUGAAAUGCGUAGAUAUCAUUUGGAACGCCAAUGGUGAAAACAGGUAGCUGGGGCUGUGCUGACGCUGAGACACGAAAGCCAGGGGAGCAAACGGG